ensembl:misc_RNA Metazoa_SRP Metazoan signal recognition particle RNA
GCCAGGCGUGGGGGCUCACGCCUGUAAUCCCAGCACUUUGGGAGGCUGAGGCGGGUGGAUCACCUGAGGUCAGGAGUUCGAGACCAGCCUGGCCAACAUGGUGAAACCCCGUCUCUA